AAAAGAGGCUCAGAUUAGCCUAAAAUUAUAUCAGAAAAGGGGCUAUUCGCCAUGGCUGCAAAAAGCGGAGGCCUUUGUGAGAGCGCAUAAGAACCAACCUCACAAAUUCCCCUGCCUUUGCCUAGUAAGCAAACAAACAGAAAGAAUAAGAAGAAA